rnacentral:lncRNA from 1 species
GCCGGGUGUUCCGCAGAGGCGGAGAAGGGAGCAAGGCCACUGAGGUGAGGGGGUGGGGCCAUGAGAGGGGCCACACAGACACCAACAGAUCCGCACAUCCCCUUGGAAGUGUGAAGAGGAAGCAGGGGCCUAAAAGAUGAGAUUCUUAUUCAGAGAACUUCUAUGAGCUCCACUGGAGUGCAGUGUUGUGGGAUGGUUUCCAUGGCAACCCCCUGCCGUCCUCCCCAGAGACCACAAGGACAGCUUCCAAAGCUCCUUCAGGUCCAGGCUGAGGCUUCCCCACCCCAGCAACCACCCCAAGGGCCCACCACUGCACACUAUGUUAGGACCCAUGCACGCACCAGGUACUGUGUGUGCCCGGACAUGUCCAGACUCAAGUUCUGUCUCUUACCUGAAGGGAUUAUGGUAUGAACGCAUCAUCUUGGAAGCAAACCGUCCAUCCCCAGGUAAGGCUUCACCUAAGUGCUUACAGCCUGCUGAUGUGUGACUUGCAAACCCUACUCUUUCAUCAGAAAUGACAGAGCCCAAGCCAGA